CUUCAUGUGCUUGCAGCUUCCCCCUUGCGCGCUGCCUGUUUGCAGGGUUUAGGGGGACGGUGGCAGCAGGACUCCUGGGCAGCAAAGCGGAGGAAAGCCACAGGCACGCCGACGCCCAGCCUGAAGGAGCGGAGCCUGCCCUGCGUCUGCGUCUGCAGUCAGCUCCGCGUCCUGAAGCCUAACCCUGGGCCAGAUUCAGCACAGAGCAGGGGGCGGACACACACUCCGUAAAUACUACCUCUUGAUCAAAGGAAAGAAGCUGCCACUGGUCCGGAUUUUUACUGCAUGUGAGUGAACCCCAGGAGGUAUCUGCCUUCGGAAGAGGGUGCCAAGACCCUGCACGGAAAUUGAAUCCAAGUCUUAUGGCCAAACAUUAUGAAGAAAAUCAUUAAGGCCUCUGUGCAGAAUUUCACUUAUUUUUCAUCAGUGAAGCAAAGGAGUAGGAAGCACUCCAGGAAUGGUUAAGAGUGUAGACUCUGCUUGGCUCUGGUUGAAAUUCUGCCUCUGAACUUAUUAGCUCUAUGACCUCAGCUAAGAUCAGUUCAAAGAAAAAUGGAACUAAACAAUACAAAAAGAAAAUGCCUUCGGCUGCUCAGGAAAGUGGGACAGGGAGAAAGGGGAGGAAUCAGAAGCUCCUAUCUGGUGCCGGCUUCUAAAACCACUGAUCUGGAGAUUGUGUUUAUCACACUUCAAACCAACAUGGCUAAAGUUCAAAUACUCAUUAGGACACUAUAAAACCCUUCCUGGGUUUAAAUGAGAUGGAAUGGUGCAUAACCUCCCAGGUAUAGGGCACAGAACACCAAAACAUGAAGGUGGCUGGAGACCUGCAGGGACUCUUGGUGAGGCUGGAGUGUGAAAGGCAGCUUGGAACAGGGUGGAAAAGGAGGGAAAGGCCAGAUGACAUGGGGUCUGAAUGGUGCAAAGCACCUCCUAAGCCCCUCCUGCUGCCAGAGCCUUUCCAGUUCCCAUGUUUAGCAUCAUCCACAUGAGCCCUUUAAUGUCUUAAAUCCAGUGACAAGUGGACUCACAUGGGGUGCGUGUUCCCUAAACCACUCCUAUUCUGGUGCAGUGGCAGCCACAGAGCAGCUUUGCCCCCAGACAUUUUUGAUGGAAUAUUCCUAAUAAUUACUAAUGUUUUCCUGUCUGAUGAAUGAGAAACAAAACACUCUCAAAUUCAGUAAGAAAAAAAUCCCUGCCAUCUCUUGCGGAGAGGCAGGGGCCAUUCAGGAGGUCCCUAAACAAAAGAAAACUAUGGAGCUCAGUGAAGAGGAUUAAACUGCCCCAUCCAUCAAAGGGGAAGAAUAUAAAUCCAUAGAUGAUCCCUGAAGAUGUCAGUGGACCCCACUAUCUAUCUCGGAAUAUCAGAGCAGAGUUCGUGUGGGUCUCAGAGAUGAGCCCUAAUUCACAGCUCACACUCUGCCCAGGGCCCAGUGCUACCCAGCAGACAAAUGGGCAGACCAUCUCCUCCAGUGCAGCCUGCAGAAACAAUAUUUAACACAUCAGAUCCCAAGAAGAGCUUGAGAACUGAAUUGGUUUAGUUGUUCAACGUAGAGAAAACAAAACCAUUCUAAACUCUCGGAUAGCAUGGCUUAACAUGCUACCCAAUUACAUCAGUGAGCCCAUGGAGUGAACUUGCCCUCCAAGUUCAUUUGACUAUCACAUUGUUUAAAAUAUAUAUAUAUAUAUAUACAUGAUCUGCCCUUGUUAAAAAAAAAUACAUUGUUAAAAAAAUAACCUAUAUGUGAUCUGUCAACAUUUUAAAAUCAGGAAAUUUCAUAUAAUACAGAGUUCUGGCUUAAAAAAUAAUGAAAUGGGACAAUCCUGCAGAAUGGUCCACAUUCUGUCAGCAGAAAUGAAAUCUCCCCUUUAUUAGGGCAUGCAGUGUCCCUAGAAACCCACUGUACUGAUUUAUGUAUUUGCCUGGCCCCUAUAGUAGACACUGAGUUGGUAAUCCUUGAGUCACAGAUCACACAAGUAAAUAUAGUAACUAAAUAUCUCACUCUUCUCCAGCUUAUAGAAGAGAUUGACAGACAUUUUCUUUCUUCCCUUUCCUUGAACUUUGCUAGCUGAAAAAAAAAAAGCCAAUAAAAAGAAUUCAAUGUUUUUUAAAGAAACAAAAAUCAUAUUGAGUUGGAAACAUAAGGGAUAAUUCUACUUUUUUUUGCUACUAAUGAGUCCAUUUGAAUUCUUUUUGGAAUGAAUAAGAGAAUUUAUCUGUUUGCAAGGGUGGAGUAGAAAGUGGGGGGUUUAUCUUAUUCUCUAGAAAAUCUUCAGCUGAAGCCAGAAUCUCCCCAACGAUGAGCAGAAUUAAGGAGAAGCAGGAGAUCUAUAGAAAUGCAAAAUUUCCCUGUCAUAAGAAUAAACCCUAGAAGAUUAAUUUUUAGCUUCAACAUAGAAUGAAGUUAUAGCUCUUUGACAAAUGAUGUUCUUUGCUGUCAUGACAACAGGGCCUGUCGGGAGGGGUGCAUAAAGAGCCCUGCCCAUAAAUCAGAACAUUUUAGGAAGGGGUUAAAACAAACAUCUCUAGACUAUUCCCAAGAUGUAGUGCCAAAAAUGUAAUUAUAGACAUUUGUAUCAGUCUGCCAUAAAGCAUGACAGCUCCAAUUUUACAAAAUGUUAAUUAAAAAAGUCGAUUAAACCCAUGUCCCCCUGAGAGAAAUUAAUAUCACACCUAAGGUUGGGAGUCAGUGCAAGUCAGAGACUGUGAAAAUUGGAUGACAGAGUCAGAAAGGUAUGCUUAAAAGCAGACUAAUUCAUGAGCAGUUUAGUUAAGAGCUUGGGUUAGAUUCUGACCCUCAAGAGAAGAAAUGUGGAGGACCAGGUAGCAACACUAACAGCCUUUCCGGAAGCUUGAGAGAACAGAAAACAGUCAUUAGAGAUUCGGAAAAGGAAUUAGAAAGAAAAACUGACAUUCAGGUUAGUUCACCUGAAAAUACAGGAAUGGAACACAAAAGAAUCAUCUGAUCUUGGAGGACACAGGAAGAGGUAGUAACCACUAGCAACUUACAGUGAGAGCAGAAAAAAUGGGAAUUAGCUUAAAACCAAACAUUGAAAAAGUGCUUCUCAAGGAAAAAAUCGUGAGUCUCCACUCCAAGGGUCACAAGAGACAAGUUCUGUCUGGCCUGUGCAGUGUUCUUUUAAGAAUGUACAGUGUUUGCCAACAUCUAAACAUUAGGAGAUUGCACACAGAAUUCUGGCUUCUUCUCUUUCAGAAGAAGAUGACUCGGUCUCAGUAGGCCUGGAUACCCAUGUGGUGACUGGAGGUGGGUUUACAGAAUAGAAGUUCCAUGAUGACAAAGGGUUUGCACUGUUGAGCCCUGUGGCCUUCACACAAUGUGGGGCACAUAGAGAAUACUCGAAGAAUGGUUGAAUGAAGGAGUGGGCAGCAGCUGUCCUCUUUAAACAGACACACACUCUCCAGGGGGCUCGCCCACCCACACUGUUACCUACCUAGCUCCCAAUUGGCUUUUGAGUUUUUCACUUUGCUCUGUGCCGUAAGUUUUUCUUUAGUUGGGACACCAUGUUGCCUCUUGCCAUGAAUUCCCUAUAGAAUCCACCCAAAGGGCACACAUGCAAGCUGAUGAAGUGAAAUGACAAUACAAUACAGGCGUACCCCAGACACAGGGCAGGUUCAAUGCAGACCACCCCAGUGAAGCUAGCAUCUCAGUAAAGCAAGCCAGAUGAAUUGUUUGACUUUUCAAUGCAUAUAAAGUUCUGCUUACACUAUACUGUAGUCUAAAUGUAUUCAGCAGCAU